UUCUUCAUGAUUUUAAUUUACCAUUAAGGCCUAAGAGGAUUGAUAUUAGUUAGAAUUAGAAAUAAUGUAGAAAUUAGAAUAAUUUAUUUGGAGCUUACAACAUAUUACAAUUAAAAAUAACAAAAAGUAAAAAUAGCAAAAAUUGUCCUUCUAGUUUUGUCAUGACACAAGGUUAUAACGCAGAUUUUGACGUAGACCGAUGUUUUGGGCAAAAUGGAAAGUUUUUUUAGCCAUCUAGUCUGUGACGCUAGAUAUAACGUCUAACGUCUGACAGAAUGUAGUUAUAUAUGAACGUGGGCAGCAAGUCUUCGAAAGGAGCGAUGAGCAUCUGGUACAGAGACGUGAGGCACGGCGGGCCCUGCCACGAGGGCAGCUUCUUGCGCGGGCCGUGCACGCUCGACCUGGCCACGUGCAACGUGUCAUAUUAUAUCGUCAGGGCUGAUGUCUGGUAAACUGUUGUCAGUGUCUUCAGACUCUUCCGUAAGAGGCACUUGAUUGAACCUUAGUAUACCUGAAAUAAAAACUUUAUAUAAAUAAUGGCUGGAGUACAGAUGGAGCCAGGAGUACAGCCUUCCCGCGGCCAAACUGUAAUACAGCACGGGGGCCUUCUGUUUGUUUACCACCUCCAAUAUCUGGUCCACUGUGGAGGGGCUCCAGGGCUCCGACCUGUCCUUGCUCGGGUCUUCCGAUGAUGCUCUAUGAAGACCCCGUGUUAUAGGAAGGAAAUUGACGUGGUGCGUGGAAGUGUACAGAGCGACGACCUUCCUGUCACGGUGUUUCUCUCCGCCCGACUCCAGCACCGCGAGGGCCGCUUGCAGCUGUUCCUUCGCCUCCUCCAGCUCGCCGGAGGCCCAUAGAGCAAAGCCCAGUCUGUGCCGGACUCGAGCCUGCAAACAUAUUUAUUCUCCGUUUACGAGACACAUCGCGUCAUGUUGCUAAGCGACGAGUAAGGAAACCAGACAAGUUACCUCCUCAUCAACAUCAGCCAAGCCCUCCGUGGCGGCGAGCGCUUGCCUCAGCAGUAGCAUGCCUGAGCCGCGACUCGUGCCAGCGCGCCGCCUCGGCGUGAGCGCCCGUGGACGCGUGCGCCGCGCCCAGGCCGCCGCAAGCCCGCGCCUGACGUAUUCACAAUCUUGUUUAUUUAUUUAUUUUAUUU